rnacentral:tRNA from 1 species
GCCUCUGUAGCUCAGAGGUAGAGCACUUCUUUGGUAAAGAAGAGGUCACGGGUUCGAUUCUCGUCAGAGGCUCCA